AAAAUAACCAUGAUUCCCCUAGUAACGGCGAGUGAAGAGGGAAAAGCUCAAAGUUGGAACCUGGCUGUCUUAGAUAGUCCGGAUUGUAAACUAAAGAGCGUGAAUCCAGGCAAGCCGGUUGAUCAAGUCCUUUGGAAUGAGGCGCCACUGAGGGUGAGAGCCCCGUAAAUCGACUGAGCAUUUGUCUUUUGUGUUUCGCGUUCAAAGAGUCAGGUUGUUUGGGAAUGCAGCCUAAAGCUGGUGGUAAAUCCCACCUAAAGCUAAAUACAGGCGAGAGACCGAUAGCGAACAAGUACCGUGAGGGAAAGAUGAAAAGUACUUUGAAAAGAGAGUUAAACAGUAUGUGAAAUUGCCAAGAGGGAAGCAUUUGGAGUUAGACUGACUUGAAGUUAAUCAGCUUGGUCUUUGGACUGGGUGUACUUGACUUCUAUGUCUGCCAAUAGCAGUUAGUCCUGGUGGAAAAAACUGAAGGGAAGGUAGUCCUUCGGGAUGUUUAUAGACCUUUGGAAAAUACACUGGGAUUGACUGAGGAAUGCAGUAGAUGCUAUUAAGGCUUCGUCUAGUAGGUGUUAGGUGAAGGUACUUGGUAUUUUCAGCUUGCUGAUGUGCUAGGUUACUUGAGCUUAAUUGCUUGCUAGAACUGUAAUUUACUUUGGUUAUUGGCUUAAUGACUCUAAAUGGC
rnacentral:rRNA from 1 species